AUAUCAAUAAGCGGAGGAAAAGAAACUAACAAGGAUUCCCCUAGUAACGGCGAGUGAAGCGGGAAGAGCUCAAAUUUGUAAUCUGGCCGGUCCCCGGUCCGAGUUGUAAUCUGUAGAGCUGUCACUGUGCCAGUCCUUUCAUGAGUCCGUUGGAGUACGGCGUCAAAGAGGGUGAGAACCCCGUUCUUGGUGAGGUCUCUGGUGCUCUGUGUGAUGGUUUCUAAGAGUCGAGUUGUUUGGGAAUGCAGCUCAAAUUGGGAGGUAGAUUCCCUCUAAAGCUAAAUAUUGGCGAGAGACCGAUAGCGCACAAGUA
rnacentral:rRNA from 1 species